AGCGAACGCUGGCGGCAGGCCUAACACAUGCAAGUCGAACGAACCCUUCGGGGUUAGUGGCGGACGGGUGAGUAACACGUGGGAACGUGCCUUUAGGUUCGGAAUAACUCAGGGAAACUCGUGCUAAUACCGAAUGUGCCCUUCGGGGGAAAGAUUUAUCGCCUUUAGAGCGGCCCGCGUCUGAUUAGCUAGUUGGUGAGGUAAUGGCUCACCAAGGCGACGAUCAGUAGCUGGUCUGAGAGGAUGACCAGCCACAUUGGGACUGAGACACGGCCCCAACUCCUCCGGGAGGCAGCAGUGGGGAAUCUUGCGCAAUGGGCGAAAGCCUGACGCAGCCAUGCCGCGUGGAUGAUGAAGGUCUUAGGAUUGUAAAAUCCUUUCACCGGUGAAGAUAAUGACUGUAGCCGGAGAAGAAGCCCCGGCUAACUUCGUGCCAGCCGCCGCUGUAACAC
rnacentral:rRNA from 1 species